UACGGAGGGUGCAAGCGUUAUCCGGAUUCACUGGGUUUAAAGGGUGUGUAGGCGGGCAGUUAAGUCAGUGGUGAAAUCUCCGGGCUCAACCCGGAAACUGCCAUUGAUACUAUCUGUCUUGAAUUUUGUUGAGGUGGGCAGAAUAUGUCAUGUAGCGGUGAAAUGCAUAGAUAUGACAUAGAAUACCGAUUGCGAAGGCAGCUCACUAAGCAAACAUUGACGCUGAGGCACGAAAGCGUGGGGAUCAAACAGG
rnacentral:rRNA from 1 species